GACAGGCUGCCGACGCCAUCUGGCUCGUCGUAAACAUUCUCCCAGUACGAGUUCAGUCCCAGCGUCCCCUGGGGAAGCGGUCCAAACAGGGUCAGACCUCACUGACACCACGUCGAAUGCCAAGCGGACCCCGCAGCAGCGCCAAGGAGCUCAGGGCAACGUUUUGGCACCGGUCUGCCAGAGACCGAAGCGAGACAACCAGGUUUGGCGAAGGGAGCGUGGAGGGUCAUCCUAAUGGAGAUGUGAUUUUGCACAUAUUGACAGUGAAUGCUGUGGGACGCCGAGCGUGAGAGGACCGGUUCGUUUUAUUACGAUUGACUGCUGUUGAUUUUCUACUAAAUGCUGCACUCAUGCAUUAAAAGGAGACAUUUAUUUAUGUUGAUUUUAGUUUUUAAAACCGUCCCUCAGGAGUAUGUCUGGUGUAUGUGUUGGUAAUUAUUUGUGCGACCUUUGUUUUACCAAAAUAACCUUUCUGAACAUUUGUAGUUUAGGAGAAGAGCAAAAGAAAUAGUGGAAUCCUUUUGCUCAACAUCAGCAUUAAGAUAGAAAAAAAAAUGCUUUUAGUAACAUUGUUGUGAAGUUUGUCCCAAUUAGAUUAAUUAUGCUAUUGCUUGUUUGUUACACUUGAGUGUUUCAGAUCAUUAAGACAUAGUUUGAUUAGAGAAACAAAGGCUGAGUAAAUAUAGAAAGCAAUUUUCAAAAUUAACUUAAAAAAGUUACUAACCAACCAACCUAAAGUCAAAAAGCAACUGCCUCUUCAUCCUGAUGAGUAAAUGAUGAAGAGUUUUUUUUGUGUAUCACUGUGAAAGAAUUUUGUCUCCGUUCUUCCUUGCAGAAUUACUUUUAUGUAGGGCUGUUUUCAAUCAAUCGAUUUUAUUGAUUGAUCAAAUUUUCUGUCUUUUAAAUAUGUAAUUUUUUGAAAAUCUGGAUGUUUUUUUGUACCAAUGCACUUGUUUUGUUUCCGUAGUUCAGACUGAUGUUAGCCAGCCCCAACAACUUGUAUGACGACCAUGUUUUACAGCUUAAAGAAGGAAUGAUUGAAAUAAAAGC